rnacentral:rRNA from 1 species
AACGAACGCUGGCGGCAGGCUUAACACAUGCAAGUCGAACGCAUCCUUCGGGGUGAGUGGCAGACGGGUGAGUAACGCGUGGGAACGUGCCCUUCAGUUCGGGAUAACCCAGGGAAACUUGGGCUAAUACCGGAUACGUGCGAGAGCAGAAAGAUUUAUCGCUGAAGGAUCGGCCCGCGUCUGAUUAGCUAGUUGGUGGGGUAAUGGCCCACCAAGGCGACGAUCAGUAGCUGGUCUGAGCGGAUGAUCAGCCACAUCGGGACUGAGACACGGCCCAAACUCCUACGGGAGGCAGCAGUGGGGAAUAUUGGACAAUGGGCGCAAGCCUGAUCCAGCCAUGCCGCGUGAGUGAUGAAGGCCUUAGGGUUGUAAAGCUCUUUCGUCCAGGACGAUAAUGACGGUACCGGAAGAAGAAGCCCCGGCUAACUUCGUGCCAGCCGCCGCCGUAA